rnacentral:lncRNA from 1 species
CAGGGAACGUAGGGUGACUGCGUUUUCAAUUUCGGUUUCUCUUUUGGGCCUGGAUACAGACUGCUGCCAUGCCGGCUGGCUAGGUCGCUCUGGAUCACAGGAAACAAGGGACCUGCAAGGACUGGAGGCCAAGCAAAUCCACAUGACAGAAAAACAAACAAACAAACAAACAAACAAACAAAACGGACUUUGGAGUGGCCUGCAGGAUUGCUGGACUGGCUGUUCUUUCUUUCAGUGAUGCCUAAGCAGAGAAAACAUGAGAAUCAGUGCACUGAGGCUUAGGGGGCGAGUGGUGAGCAUGCUUCCUGUAAAAUACCUCACUGCACUCUGAGAGAAGUAGGUGGCCUCGCCUUUCUGUGUAAGCUGAAGAGAUGAAGACUCAUAAUGACUUGUUAACGGCCACCAAGAACUGUGGGAAGCAUGGACCCUCAGAGAUCUCACUGCUCUAACCUGGGAAACUUAAAACGGAUCUUAAUUCUGGUGUGACACCAUGACUACCUGUUGGCUGUAUCCCAAGUAGCUAUUCAGCUCUCUCUGACAUUUUCCACUUACGUGUGACAGUCAGAUCAAUUCUGGAAAUACGGACUCCAUCCACAGGAAUUAAAGUGCCACAGGACAUUUUAAGUCCUUGGCAUAGCAGAGACAUCCAUGUUAAACAGCAAGGAGCACUGCUGGUGUCUUAACCAUUCUCUCCUGCUAACAAGCACCAAAACAAAGAACUCCCCUGUGAGUCUCCUGGAGGCUGGAUUUCAACAGAGCACAGUGACCAAGUUUCAUCUUGGAAAGGAACUUCCCACAGAAAAGGGAGACUUCAAAGGAGUGCUCACGUAUGCUGGAGCGCCUCUGAUUUCACUGAACCACCACACACAGGAACAAAACAUCCUGUCCAGAGGCAGCAGUGGUGGGAGCUGGAGCAGCAGCAGGGUGGCUCUCUGCUCUCGCCCACUUCUGGGGAUAGCUCUUGUUUAG